UUUCGUAAUGAUGAAUUAUUUUCCUAUUCCUAUUACACAUCGCUCCCCCUCAUGCGGGAGUUUAUGAAAGUUUUGUAAUAUUUCAUUACCUCUUCAUUCACUCGGUUCCCAUUCACUUGCAAACAACUAGCCAAGCAUAUAUUCGAACACAUACUCAAAUCCCCCAAGAUUCUAUGUAUUUUGUGACUUACGAAUCUGACCACUUUUGUUCCAAGAAUGACUAGCCGCGAGAUUCAAUUUUUUUUGGUACUUUUGGUAGCCAUUUGUUAAUUUUGGAAAUUAUUUCCAAGCUUCUCGAUUUUACGGAUUUACAGAGUAAGAUCAUGUUCUUUAAGAAUGGGAAAUUGUUUUAUUAGUGGUAUUUGGAUGCUGGUAAAACGUUCAACUCACUUGUUGGAAUCAAUCUCUUAUUGAAAAUGGAAUUUUACUGAUUUGAAUCUUGUCUUCUUGGGACAAAAGUAAAACUAUAGGCCACAAGACAUCAAAGGUCUUUUUUUAAAUGGGUACCCCUCUCGUAUUAGUACUGCCGUAGAGCUAGAAUUCCUUGCGUGAAUGCCUAAUACAGUAGUAGCAGUAGGUAGUUACCCGCUGUUGAGACGAUCACAAUUGUUGUACUGACAGAACACUGCAUACCUAAGCAUUGCGAAAGGUAGAAUUCAGUUAAGAGCCAGGCUCAAGUGUUCUUGAAA